GAUGAACGCUGGCGGCGUGCCUAAUACAUGCAAGUCGAGCGAACAGACGAGGAGCUUGCUCCUCUGACGUUAGCGGCGGACGGGUGAGUAACACGUGGAUAACCUACCUAUAAGACUGGGAUAACUUCGGGAAACCGGAGCUAAUACCGGAUAAUAUAUUGAACCGCAUGGUUCAAUAGUGAAAGACGGUUUUGCUGUCACUUAUAGAUGGAUCCGCGCCGCAUUAGCUAGUUGGUAAGGUAACGGCUUACCAAGGCGACGAUGCGUAGCCGACCUGAGAGGGUGAUUGGGCCACAUGGAAACUAGAAAAGGGCCAGAAUCCCAAGGGAGGGAGCAGUAGGGAAAUUUCCGCAAAGGGCGAAAGGCUGAAGGAGGAAAGCCGGGUGGGGUAUGAAGGGUUUCGGAACGGAAAACUCUGUUAUUAGGGAAGAACAAAUGUGUAAGUAACUAUGCACGUCUUGACGGUACCUAAUCAGAAAGCCACGGCUAACUACGUG
rnacentral:rRNA from 1 species